rnacentral:rRNA from 1 species
UACAGAGGUCUCGAGCGUUAGGCGGAAUUACUGGGCGUAAAGCGCGUGUAGGCUGCUCAGCAAGUCGGAUGUGAAAGCCCUGGGCUUAACCUAGGAAGUGCAUUCGAAACUUCUGAGCUAGAGUUCUGGAGAGGAAGGCGGAAUUCUCGGUGUAGAGGUGAAAUUCGUAGAUAUCGAGAGGAACACCGGUGGCGAAGGCGGCCUUCUGGACAGUGACUGACGCUGAGACGCGAAAGCGUGGGGAGCAAACAGG